UGCGAGGUAGAGCAGCGGUAGCUCGUCGGGCUCAUAACCCGAAGGUCCUGGGUUCGAUCCCCAGCUUCGCAA
rnacentral:tRNA from 1 species